UCCUUGUCUCUUGCUCUCUAGAACACGGUCCCAACAGUCUUGGCGUCUUCCUCCUGUUCGAGAGUAACCAGUGCCGCUGCUGAUCAUCCUUCUGUGCAGAAUCAUUCAGUUGAUUGAUCUGCUUUGAUUUGCUGUUUGUAAUCGGUGUUUACACCAUCUUUGAGUAGUGUUCUUGCUUAAAAGUUGUGUACUAUUGUUCUAUAAAUAAAAGAUUUCGUUUUUUUCACAUGGUAUCAGAGCCAAUCGGCUCUCUGGUACCCGUAUCUCUCCGCUGCUGCUACUAUUGAUCGGACGGAUUUGUUCGGAUCUAGGGUUGUGGUUAAGGAAUCCUGGUAGUAACUUAAAUAUGCUGAUUCCUGAUCAUCUCCUUGGCCUAUUUGGGGUUUAUUUCAAGUCUGGUGAAGAACAGAGGUCUUUGGUCUACUGGGUGUACGUGACCUGUUGAAGAUCGAAACCCUAAUUUUUAGGGUUUUUACUUUACGGCUUAUUGAAGGUUCUGGUUGGUCUCUAAUUAGGGCAAAACGACAGAACGCCUUCUUUCUUCAUCUGAUCAGAUCCUUGUAACCCUAAGUGAAGGUUACAAGUCUGACUUACUGGAACUUUUUGCACCCACUUGCUACCUUGGUUAGCAAAAUAGAUGUUGGACAUUAGGUACAUAAGGAGCUUGCACAGGGAGGAGCAGGUCGUUGUGGAGCAUGGAUCGUGGAUGUUUUCCUAA
rnacentral:lncRNA from 1 species